rnacentral:rRNA from 1 species
AUUGAACGCUGGCGGCAGGCCUAACACAUGCAAGUCGAGCGGAUGAAGGGAGCUUGCUCCUGGAUUCAGCGGCGGACGGGUGAGUAAUGCCUAGGAAUCUGCCUGGUAGUGGGGGAUAACGUCCGGAAACGGGCGCUAAUACCGCAUACGUCCUGAGGGAGAAAGUGGGGGAUCUUCGGACCUCACGCUAUCAGAUGAGCCUAGGUCGGAUUAGCUAGUUGGUGGGGUAAAGGCCUACCAAGGCGACGAUCCGUAACUGGUCUGAGAGGAUGAUCAGUCACACUGGAACUGAGACACGGCCCAGACUCCUACGGGAGGCAGCGGUGGGGAAUAUUGGACAAUGGGCGAAAGCCUGAUCCAGCCAUGCCGCGUGUGUGAAGAAGGUCUUCGGAUUGUAAAGCACUUUAAGUUGGGAGGAAGGGCAGUAAGUUAAUACCUUGCUGUUUUGACGUUACCAACAGAAUAAGCACCGGCUAACUUCGUG